CCUCGCUGAGGAAAAAUAACUAAACAUGGGCAAAGGAGAUCCUAAGAAGCCGAGAGGCAAAAUGUCAUCAUACGCAUUCUUUGUGCAAACUUGCUGGGAGCAGCACAAGAAGAAGCACCCAGAUGCUUCAGUCAACUUCUCAGAGUUUUCUAAGAAGUGCUCAGAGAGGUGAAGACCAUGUCUGCUAAAGAGAAAGGAAAAUUUGAAGAUAUGGCAAAGGCGGACAAGACCCGUUAUGAAAGAGAAAUGAAAACCUAUAUCCCUCCUAAAGGGGAAACAAAAAAGAAGUUCAAAGAUCCCAAUGCACCCAAGAGGCCUCCUUCGGCCUUUUUCUUGUUCUGUUCUGAGUAUCACCCUAAAAUCAAAGGAGAACAUCCUGGCCUAUCCAUUGGUGAUGUUGCAAAGAAACUGGGAGAGAUGUGGAAUAACACUGCUGCAGAUGACAAACAGCCUUAUGAAAAGAAGGCUGCAAAGCUGAAGGAAAAGUACGAAAAGGAUAUUGCUGCAUACUGAGCUAAAGGAAAGCUUGAUGCAGCAAAAAAGGGAGUCGUCAAGGCUGAAAAAAGCAAGAAAAAGAAGGAAGAGGAGGAAGAUGAAGAGGAGGAGGAAGAUGAAGAAGAUGAAGAUGAAAAAGAAGAUGAUGAUGAUGAAUAAGUUGGUUCUAGCGCAGUUUUUUUUUUCUUGUCUAUAAAGCAUUUAACCCCCCUGUACACAACUCACUCUUUUUAAAGAAAAAAAUUGAA